CAUAGAACAGGUCGCCCCAACUGACUAAGAAUAACUUUGUCGCACGAGAAAGACUACCGCCAUAUUUGCAGCUGGACAGCAAGACAAAAGAACAACAUCCUGGUCAGCCAUCUCCAGUGCUGGUCUAUAGAAAGAGGCACAAUGGGUGGCUGAGGAGUGCAACUGAAUCCUCUUGUUCAUUAGACAGUAAUGUCAUCAUCUCCAUCAACACAGAUAACUCUGCUGCUCCUUGAUCAGAGAAGAAGAUUCUACAUCUGCCCCAUAACGUUUUGCCCAGGUCCAGCACACAGAAGUCUCCAAUAGCAUUGUGAUGGGGGAGAGCUUCCUGUUCCCAGUGGGGGAAGAAAAAUCCAUGAGGCAAAUAUUUAGCUCCAGGCACCAGGCCAAUACAGCAACAGAAAGUUUUACACUUGUGCCAAGAUUUCUUGGUUUCUUUUUAAAAUGAAAAUCGUGACAAUUAUCUUGAUGCUUCUUGAUGAAUCAGAUCUGUCUGUAAGAGAAAAGACUUUUUUGGUUUGAAAUACACUGGGGAGGGGAGAGGGGCAGCUUAUGUACCGAUUUUAAAACUAAUGUGCUUGUGUGAAAACAUUCGUAACCAGUCAACCCACAGAGACUUUCAGUAAGUAAGCCUGAAAUGCCCAUUGAAAAAAAGCUACAGAAUUUCACAAAGGGAAUGAAUUUAAGGAUACUUUUCCAAAUAUACACUGAUUGUUUGCUUUGUUCAACAUUUUCCAGUUUGCAUUGUGCAUUUGACUAGCUUACAGCUCCAAUCCUUGAUCAUGUCAGCAUUUCAAAAAACAUCUCACCACAACUUGAAACUUUAACUGAGCUUAAAAAAAAUAAAAAGGAAAAAG